CUUUGAAUAUGUUGAACCAAGUGGAAAGGAUGUGGGGAUCAAUGUCAGAAAGAAGGCGGAAAACAUUGUAGCUCUUCUUAAUAACAAGGAUAAAAUAGAAGCAGCUCGGAAAAAAGCUGCUAGUACCCGUGAGAAGUAUGUUGGCCUCUCAUCUACGGGGAUAUCGUACAAGUCAAGUUCUGCUUCUUAUGGUGGUGGCAGUUCCCAGAGCAGCAACAGGGUCAGGUAUGGAGGCUUCGGUGGCAGAUAUGAUGAUGAUGGUUACAGAAGCAGAGAUGAAGACUAUUCUGGGCAAGAUAAUUUGAGAAAUUUGUUCCCAAGUCUUAUCAAGGAGCUUCUGCUGAAAGGAAAACAGCUCAUUAUAGCAG